GCUCCCCUAAUAUAUAUAAAGUAUAUUUGGCUUCCAACCAAAAAGUCUGAACUCGUCAGGUGAAGCA
rnacentral:tRNA from 1 species